rnacentral:lncRNA from 1 species
CGCGACGCAAACCUUGAUUGUGUGAUUCGCGUUCGUGUUCUUCGCGUUAUUGUUUUCCCCCUUCUCAUUCUAGCCUCGAUUCGCUAUUUUGAGACCGAUUUGAUUCGUUCUUUUUGCGUUGGCUUGAGCUAUGACGUGAGUGAAGGCUUUCCACCGAAGGAAAUCAACUAAAUCCUCAUGAGCUCAUAGAUCAGGUUGAUUUCGUGGCUAGGUUUUAAGAAAUCCCUUUUCCCUCGCCCUCUUAAUUUUCCCAUUGAUUGGCUUUAAAUUGGGCGAUGAUCUCCUAGAGCUAGAGGUAGCUCACUUAUUGCUUUGUGACCAUGUGGUUAAAAUCUUGUGGCAAUUGGUUGUAAUUUGAUAGCUCAACAAUCGGAUUUUUGGUUGGAGACGAUUUUCAGAGCUCUCUGUUCUUGCUGAUUCGCGAUUCGCGGACAGUCCGCCAGUGAACUGCGGACAGUCCGGGUGUCGGGGACAGUUCUGCGUGGUUUCGGGUGUUUCUGAGUGUUCGAACUGUGGACAGUCUGGGAAUUAUUCGUGAACAGUCCGCCGUUCAUUUUUCUCCAAGACUCAGAACCGAUCCAGCAAGUUCGGGUUUCUGAUUUUUAAACUGCGGACAGUCCGCGGUACUAUAGCAGACUGUGCAGUACUGUAGCGGAUAGUCUAUGGUACUGUAG